ACACUCAGAUUCAAACUGCCUCUGUGUUUGAUUCUGUUUGUCACUGCCGAAUCCUUACCCAUCUAGCUUUGAGGACCCUCAUUCUAGGGACCCCCACACCCGACUGGGCUGGUCUGUAGCAAUCCUUGAACUCACUCUACAGACCAAACUGGCCUUGAACUCAGAGAUCUGCCUGCCUUUUGUCUCCAGUGUACUGGAAUUGAAGGAGUUUCAUGGGUUGGCAUCAUGGUGUAAGCACAUGUCAAAGUGAGAACUCAUGUUGUAUGAAGAACUUCCAUGAGGCCUCCCAUCUCUUCUCCCCAGUUCUUACCAUCAUACCCCAGAAAACCAACCUCCCUCACAGGAAUUCUCCAGCAGCAAGCAGCUCCGGAGACGAAGCUGUCCUGAGGACCAAGAUGCCACAUCUGCACCCCAAGAUAAAGAAUCUACAUCAGCUGCUGUCGGAAGGGAGGACAUCAGCCACGGUGAGCAUCACCAACGUGAGAGAAGAGAGGACUUGGAUGGAUGAGCUCCUGACACCUCCUCACCUCCAGCUUGGAAAUGAGCAGUCAGCCUCUCAUAACUGACUAGAUGCACCUCGCUAGUGGGAUGAAAAAGACCGUUUCUAAGAUGUCAUUGCUGCAGGGUCUCUCUGCCCCAAGUCACCCACCUGUCUACAGGUUCACAGGAUCGUGCAGGGUGUUCACCAUAGCCAGGGGGCGGGGCAGGAGUGGAAUGACCAGAUUACACUGGUUUCUUGCAAAGGGCCAUUCUUCCAAGUCUGUACCGCUGAAUCAAGACUGUCCAUACAUGAACUCACAAGCCCUUUUCAUGUGCUUGCUACAAGGUAGGGCGUGUGCUAGGUCCUAAGGGUGCAGGGUAUAGUGUAUGUAAUUUAGAUGAAAAUGUCCCUCGAAAGUCUAUGUGCUAAAGUCUGGUCCUCAGUUGGCACUGUUGGAAGGCAGUAGAAACUUUGAGAUGUGGGGAAGAGUUGGGGGGUCUUGAGUUCAUGGGGUAGAUGCCUUAGGAUGGGAUGGUGGAACGGAGACCUUUCCGUUUUUCUCCUUUUUGUUUCCUGUCAAUGUGGUGAAUGAUUUGGAUCUCUGUGUGUUCCCACUAUGAUGUGCUUUGCUGGUCCAGGCCCGAAGCAACCGGAACUAACAGCACUCUCCACUCUGUGAUGAGAUGCUUAGCUCAGCUAUUUGUUCCUGUGAGGAGAAGCUGACAGACACUUGGUUGUGAGCAAAACCAAACAUGGCACCUAUUCUCAUGGAGUGUGUAGUCACGCCAGAAUAAGGGACAAGGAUUAACCCCAAAGAUAAGGGCAAUUCUACCGCCAGAAGAGCAACUACAUAUAAAAUGGAUGCAAGCAGACUUCCCUGACCUAGAGAGGUUUGUGGGCGACUCUAGUAGAAGCUGAGCUUGGAAAGGCUAAGUGAAGGCCGAAAGGGAAAGUCGCCAGUAUCCAGCUGUGAGGAGACCCAGUGGCCCUGUGGACUGAGCAGUCAGGUUGUGGAUAGGUCUUCUGUGGGUGGCAGACAGGGAACAGGAAGGGGCUUAGACACAGUGGAGAUGGAGAAGGAUUGGCUGGCUGUGUGUGUGAAGAGAAGCUGGAACAGCUAGAUGCUUCCAGAAAAGGAGGAUGCCUUGGGGCUGAAUGUGCUGAGGGCAAAAGCAGAGAGACAGGUCCUUCCCUGUUCGAGGAGUUCAAGUGCCCCCUUUCUUCCUCAGAGCAUCAUGUAAAUAAGGUCUGAGAAUCACCUGGGAGCACUAAGAGAAGGGCUUCAUUCAGAUGACACAAACCCCACAGAAUGUUGUUGAUGAGCCGCCUCUGUUAGAAAAGUGCUUGCUGCACAGGCCUGGAGGCCUGAGUCAAGUGCUUAGCAUCUGUGUAAAAGCUGGGCAUGGCAGAGCAUGCCUGUAAUUCCAAUGCUGGAGUGACAGAGAGGAUCCUGGGGUUUGCUGACCAGCCAGUCUAGCUAUUCACCCAGCUCUGGGUUUGGUGAGAAGCACUGUCUCAAAAAUAAUGUGGAGAAAGGCAGCCUGCAUGGCUCGGUGGCUGCUUAAAACGCAGGUGUGGAAAAUGGCCCUUUUCCCGAGGCUAGAAAUACCUGAAGGAGAAAUGAAAGAGUCCUUGCCUUGAUGCCUCCCAGACAACACUGUUUCUGCUAAUGCUACUUUUGAUUCUGAGAUGGUGCAAAGAGGCUCCAAGCUUGUCCACGGGAAGUCAGGUUGACCGCCCCUGGCUGUGCUGUUUACUGACUGAAUAAAUAUACAAACCCUUUGUCUCUUCUACCUCUGCG